rnacentral:rRNA from 1 species
AACGAACGCUGGCGGCAUGCCUAGCACAUGCAAGUCGAACGGGAUCCUGGUUUCGGCCAGGUGAGAGUGGCGGACGGGUGAGUAACGCGUGGGAACCUGCCCAGUGGUGGGGGAUAACUGCGGGAAACUGCAGCUAAUACCGCAUGAGCCCGCAAGGGGAAAGAUUGAUCGCCAUUGGAGGGGCCCGCGUUCGAUUAGGUAGUUGGUGAGGUAACGGCUCACCAAGCCUACGAUCGAUAGCUGGUCUGAGAGGAUGAUCAGCCACACUGGGACUGAGAUACGGCCCAGACUCCUACGGGAGGCAGCAGUGGGGAAUAUUGGACAAUGGGGGCAACCCUGAUCCAGCAAUGCCGCGUGAGUGAUGAAGGCC